GUGUUUACUUCGGCAGCACAUACUAAAACUAGAAUAAUACAAAGAUUAGAAUGCCUCCUGCUCAAGAAUGGCAGGCAAAUUUUAAAAAGAAAAGUCCAUGCCA
rnacentral:snRNA from 1 species